CAAUAGCGUAUAUUAAAGUUGUUGCAGUUAAAAAGCUCGUAGUUGGAUUUCUGGUGGGAGCACGGGUCGGCCCUCACGGGUUGUACUGUUGUUGCGUCCUGCCGUUUCGGAGGGAAUGGUCUCGCUAUUAGGUUGGUGGGGUCGGGAACUCUGUCGUUUACUGUGAAAAAAUUAGAGUGUUCAAAGCAGGCCUUCGCUGUGAAUACAUUAGCAUGGAAUAAUAAGAUAGGACUAUGGUGCUAUUUUGUUGGUUUGCGUACUAUGGUAAUGAUUAAUAGGGAUAGUUGGGGGUAUUCAUAUUCAAUUGUCAGAGGUGAAAUUCUUGGAUUUAUGGAAGAUGAACUACUGCGAAAGCAUUUACCAAGGAUGUUUUCAUUAA
rnacentral:rRNA from 1 species